GGGCCCGCACAAGCGGAGGAACAUGUGGUUUAAUUCGAUGAUACGCGAGGAACCUUACCCGGGCUUGAAUUGCAGGAGAACGAUCCAGAGAUGGUGAGGUCCUUCGGGACUCCUGUGAAGGUGCUGCAUGGUUGUCGUCAGCUCGUGCCGUGAGGUGUCGGCUUAAGUGCCAUAACGAGCGCAACCCCUCUCUUCAGUUGCCAUCAGGUAAUGCUGGGCACUCUGGAGACACUGCCACCGCAAGGUGUGAGGAAGGUGGGGAUGACGUCAAAUCAGCACGGCCCUUACGUCCGGGGCUACACACGUGUUACAAUGGUGGGUACAGAGUGUCGGGGGUAUGCAAAUGCCCUCCAAUCAUGAAAACCCUCCUCAGUUCGGACUGGGGUCUGCAACCCGACCCCACGAAGCUGGAUUCGCUAGUAAUCGCGCAUCAGCCAUGGCGCGGUGAAUACGUUCCCGGGCCUU
rnacentral:rRNA from 1 species